UUCAGAUAUUCUCCACUAUUAUUUUAGGUAUUUAAGAUGUUGCUAAAGAGUGGUAGGAAGGAGUCUCUUACAGUAGCUGCUCCAGACUUUGAAAUGGAUAAUUGAUUACUCGAAUGAUUGAUUGUAUGAUCCAUUAUAGUUUCAAAAGUGGCCUUUCAGUUUUUAAAGAGACAAGCUGCAGUCGAAAGAACAAUACGUGAUUUUUUUUUGGAAGUGGCAGAAACAGCACCUAAGAUUAGCAAGCUGCUGCCAAUAAUCUGGGCCACGUGUAAACUUUUUAAAGGCAGAGAUAUUCUUGUUAUAUUAUACGAAUGGACUGAUUAAGCUCAGCAUGCUGCAGUCAACGAUGAAAUAGAAAACUAACGGCAGAAAAAAGCACCUAAGAAUAGCAAGCUGCUGCCCAGAAAAACUUGAAAAGAUGAAGCGUAGCACUUGUCGGAAAGGGCACCUAAGACCGGUAACUUGAUGCCUAUGUCUGAAUUCUUUUUCCGAACGAGGAUGUUCAGCACCCCUCCCCUCCCACCACCAUCCUGGCAGAGGACCGGCACCGGAGGACCCAAAGUGAGGCGUCUCUAAUGGACCAGACAGAGUACAUCCUGUUUCAAGAGAUAUAUUCUGGAAGAGCGUCGAGUCAUGCAGGACCGUCCAAUAGAAAAGAGCUCAUCUUGUUUGCAGUGAUUUGUUCUCGAAGAGCAUCGAGUCACGUAUGACCAGUCGCGUAGGACCAGUCAGGUAGACCAGUCAUGUAGGGCCAGCCAAGAAACCUUGUUGGUUCUGCAAUAUUAUUUGUCUUCUUUGCUUUAGAAGUAUAUAUAUCGAAGUAAGUGGACAAUGAAAUGAAACAUAUAAGGAAAAAUAACACUUUUAUGUUAGAAAUAAAGGGAACAGUGGUGUUUUUGUGUCAGUCACAGUGGUUGAUGUGUGUCAUAGUCACAGUGGUCGAUUGUGUGUGGUUGUUGUAGUGUUCAU